CCUACGGGAGGCAGCAGUGAGGAAUAUUGGUCAAUGGGAGAGAUCCUGAACCAGCCAAGCCGCGUGAGGGAAGACGGCCCUAUGGGUUGUAAACCUCUUUUGUCGGAGAACAAAACCCGGGACGAGUCCCGGACUGCGUGUAUCCGAAGAAAAAGCAUCGGCUAACUCCGUGCCAGCAGCCGCGGUAAUUCGGAGGGUGCGAGCGUUAUUCGGAAUUAUUGGGUUUAAAGGGUGGGUAGGCGGGCUGGUUAGUCAGCCGGUAAAUUUGGGUGGUUAACCCUGGCCGGCAGGUUGAUAUUGGCAGACUUGAGUGGGCGAGAAGUACGCGGAAUGCGCGGUGUAGCGGUGAAAUGCAUAGAUAUCGCGCAGAACUCCGAUUGCGAAGGCAGCGUACCGGCGCCAGACUGACGCUGAGGCACGAAAGCGUGGGGAGCGAACAGGAUUAGAUACCCCGGUAGUC
rnacentral:rRNA from 1 species